GAGGACACAAGGUGGUGCUAAACACACUUUUAUAUAUGUAUUUUGAUUACAUGGAGAGGUUAGUUAGCAUGUAGAGGAAAUGGAUAGAGACAUUUAAAGCAAGACAGCAAGCAUGCAAACUGGCAGCAGUAUGAUGGUGUCUGAUCUAAAGGAAAGUAGAUCAAUGAAUCACUUUGAACUCAUAAAUCCUGCUCAAACUGUAGAAUAAAAACAAGAUUUGAUUAACAAGAUCAAUAUUUCCCAUGUUAUCUAAGCAGAGAUUUUAAACAUCAGCUUCAGACGCUCAAGUUAUUAUGACUAAAUGAUUCUUAAUUUAAAAGCCUUUCAUCCACACAUU